rnacentral:rRNA from 1 species
AUUGAACGCUGGCGGCAUGCCUUACACAUGCAAGUCGAACGGUAACGGGCCUUCGGGUGCCGACGAGUGGCGAACGGGUGAGUAAUAUAUCGGAACGUACCUUUCAGUGGGGGAUAACGUAGCGAAAGUUACGCUAAUACCGCAUAUUCUGUGCGCAGGAAAGCAGGGGACCUUCGGGCCUUUCGCUGAUUGAGCGGCCGAUAUCAGAUUAGCUAGUUGGUGAGGUAAAGGCUCACCAAGGCGACGAUCUGUAGCGGGUCUGAGAGGAUGAUCCGCCACACUGGAACUGAGACACGGUCCAGACUCCUACGGGAGGCAGCAGUGGGGAAUUUUGGACAAUGGGGGCAACCCUGAUCCAGCCAUGCCGCGUGAGUGAAGAAGGCCUUCGGGUUGUAAAGCCCUUUCGGCCGGGAAGAAAUCGUAUGGGCUAAUACCCUGUGCGGAUGACGGUACCGGCAUAAGAAGCACCGGCUAACUACGUGCCAGCCGCCGCGGUAACAC